AGUGCGCGCNNNNNNNNNNNNNNNNNNNNNNNNNNNNNNCGGAGGUUGGGGGUCCCCCGGGGGCGGCCCGUAUCCCGGCUUCCUCAGGGAGCGGACCGAGAGCCCGGGCGAGAGCGCGGGCCGCGCGAGGAGCCUCCUGUCCCGGGCUCCCGGAGCAGGAUUGAGGAGGAACCGGGACGAUGGCGGCUCCCUCUCCGGCGUCAUUUCAGGGAGAAACCAGUAUCCUCUUUGUCGUCGUGCGCUGGAAGUUUGAGCGGCUGUGCAGGGCUGUCUCUGCAAGGGAGAGCCGCAGCCUCUGAAUCCUGCACAGAGCUUUUUAAAAUUUAUGUAUGUAUGUAUGUAUGCAUGUGUGUAUUUAGCAAGGGCAGAUGCCUCAAAGCGUGGGAAAGGAGUACGAAGGGGUGGCUAAUAUCUUUUUUUAAAUGUUUUUUUAUUAUAUUAUGUUAGUCACCAUACAGUACAUCCCCGGUUUCCGAUGUAAAGUUCGAUGAUUCAUUAGUUGUGUAUAACACCCAGUGCACCAUGCAAUACGUGCCCUCCUUACUACCCAUCACCGGUCUAUCCCAUUCCCCACCCCCCUCCCCUCUGAAGCCCUCAGUUUGUUUCUCAUAGUCCAUAGUCUCUCAUGCUUCAUUCCCCCUUCUGAUUAUCCCCCCUUUCUUUAUCCCUUUCUUCCCCUACCGAUCUUAAGGGGUGGCUAAUAUCUUGAAGCAGGCUCGCGCUUUCCCCCAGGUGGGCACAGAGGGAGUCAGUCACGGGAUAAGGGAGGAGCAGGCUGUCUGGGGUAGCAGUUGCCAGGUGCAGAAAGGGGGAACUGAGGGUCACAUUCUUUCAUAGCUCCUAACUUAUGCCCUGCCCCUGGGGAUCCUGGGAUCGUGCUCCAGCCGGGCCAUUGCGUUCAGUAGCCCAAGAACAGUUUUCUACCGAUGCUGUGAUGCCAAAGACGACGCGUCAAAGAUGCUGUAGAAGAGGUUUGGGAUUAAGGCGAAGGUGGCCCCAGAGUAGUCCUCUGUUGCCCUUCAACUCCAGGAUUGCAUGCAAAUCAAGAAACAAACAUGAUGCUGGGAAAGAAGUCGAAAGGCAGGAGAGAAACCCGUAGGCUACUGCUGGUGAAGAGUCAGCUGAUGAUGGUCAGUGAGAAAAUUCCUCGCUAUCAAGUUCUCAUCAACAAGUCAGACGGAAUUAGGAUAUCCUCGACCUACAUUCCUGAGGAGGACAUAACAAUAAUUAUGGGAUAUGAAGUACAGCGUCUUAAGUUACAAACUAUUUUUCCAGGUCUUGUUUAUUUACGUUGAACUAAAAUUAACUGUCCAUUAAGAACACUGAUACUUAAAAAUAAGGUAUACUGCUACUAUAAAAAAAUGUAAUCUUUACCAUGUAACUGAAUAGAAUCCUAAAUUUUAUCAGUAAUAUUAAGAAAAUUUAUUUAAUAGUAUUUCCUUUUACAAUGGUGCUUGGAGUGUAGUUGGUCUGUUUCAGAUAUUCAAAUGGGAAUUUUUUUUUUUCUUUCAGAAAACAGCAAUUAUAAUUUGCUGCUUUCUCGAAAGAUUUUUUUAAAAGGGGGUUCAGAAGAAAGAAAUCUCGUCAGGGUUAGUGGCUUAUUCUAGCAGGCUUUUGGCACAGGUCCCCUGACUCAUUUUGAGACUCCAGUAUAUGCCAUGUGUCAGAAAUUAAACUGCCACCAAUGACAACUAAAUGUGAUACCCUUAGUCUGAGCACAUGAGAUGUCAUACAGAAACCAGUCCAAUCUUUGAUUUCUUUUCUCUUAGCAACUCUACAGAAUUGCAGGACUGCCCAAUUUACAGACUUUUUUUUUUUUUUAAAACACCAUCUUUAAAAAUUCCUGUAAAUUCUAAGAAGUGUUUGGUAACUUAAAAUUUGUUUUUAGGUAUUUCAUGCUAAGCUGAAAACUUUCUUUACCAAAUAUGAAACCAAAAUAUAAUGAAGUUACAGCUAAGAAAAAUCUACCCACAUAAUUAAAUUUUUAUUAAGUAAUUUUUUUCUUGAUGUUCAGCCCCGAUAUACUUUUCUAUCCAACUGGAUAAAUAAAAGCUACAAUAUAUUUAGCUCUUUUUUUUGG
rnacentral:lncRNA from 1 species